rnacentral:rRNA from 1 species
CCCUUAGAUGUUCUGGGCCGCACGCGCGCUACACUGAUGCAUUCAACGAGUCUAAAACCUGGCCUGAGAGGGCUGGGUAAUCUUUUGAAAGUGCAUCGUGAUUGGGAUAGAUGAUUGCAAUUCUUCAUCUUCAACGAGGAAUGCCUAGUAAACGCAAGUCAUCAGCUUGCAUUGAUUACGUCCCUGCCCUUUGUACACACCGCCCGUCGCUCCUACCGAUUGAACGAUCCGAUGAAAACUGUGGAUUGAGAGUCUGAGUGGGUUCGCCUACCUCAACUUUCGAGAAGCGGUUUAAAUCUUAUCGUUUAGAGGAAGGAGAAGUCGUAACA